UAAAUUAGUUCUGCCCAAUGAUUUAAUUAUUAAAUGGCUGCAGUAUUUUAACUGUGCGAAGGUAGCAUAAUUAUUAGUUUAUUAAUUGUAAACUUGUAUGAAAGGUUGGAUGAAAUUUAGUCUUUCUUUAAAUAUAAAUUUUGAAUUUACAUUUUUUGUAAAAAUGCAAAGAUUAAUUUAUAAGACGAGAAGACCCUAUAAAACUUAAUAUAAUUUCUAAAUUAUAAUUUAGAAAUUAUAUUGUGUUGGGGAGAUUUUGAAAUUUUAUAACUUCAUUUUUUUUCAUUGUUAUUGUUUUUUUGUUUAUUUUA
rnacentral:rRNA from 1 species